rnacentral:lncRNA from 1 species
GCCCUAAAAAUAUCAAGCGCUCUGAUCUGAGACCCAGAGAGAUUGAGGGCCUUUAAAAACAACAGAACUAGUUACAGAAGAGCUCAGACAAGAGGAACCAAGUCUAGGGCUUUUUCCACGCCGCACCUCUACAGAGACUGAAGAAGAAUCUGCCCAAGAGGUAGGAUGAAGACUUGGGAAUGGGGUAGGAGUGGGAAUAUUUGAAAUAAGAUCCUGCAGACUUAGAGGCGACGAUAAGUGAGAAAUUCAUUAAAGAGCCGGGGCCUGGGGGAAUCUUAACAGUCGACUGUUACACGCAUGUCAUCAUUCAACAAUAUUUAUUAUGUAUUUACUAUAUGCUUGAGCUGACAGUCAAGGAGGGGAGGCCAAUGCAACAAGCAGUUGCACUAAGUCUAACAAGUGUCAUGACAGAGGAAUUGAAGUAUCCUGAGAGUGAACAGCAGGAAAACCUAACCUGCAUGGGGGACAUGAGCUUCCAAGGGAACCAAGAACAGAAACUGACCAGGCAGAGGAUGGAGAAGGUGAGGGGAGUGUCCCAGUCAAAGGGAUUUCACACAGGAAGAUUCGGGGUACAUGCGAACUUUGACCCCAGAGGAGACCUAAAACUUAGGCUCUUACUAAAUAUCCUUAGUAUUUGGGAAGCUAGGUAUCAGUGAAAAGCCAGUGUUUAGAAUUUCUCCCCACCUGCUUCCGGGAGUCUUAGCAUUCACGACUAGGCUGCCCAGAGGGUAUGGACUGGAAAGUAAAAUAACUGAGAAGACACACUGUUCCUCACAUUUUUCUAAACCACUCGGUCCGUCGCGGUACUUGGCCGACUCAAAGCAGGUUAGGAGGCCGAUUUCAAUGGUGAGUUUCCCCCCCGCCCCAUUCUAGACCCUCGAAUCUCACUGUCCCCUGCUAGGCGGAUGCAGUCUUGAGGGGAACUUCCUCUCAUGCCUUCUCAUCUCAAAGGGCCCUGCCAGGGUCCGGGGCCGAGGGUGCGCCGCCCGGCCUCCCUUGAUUUUCCUCACCUGACCUCGAACUCUCAGCCCUGGAAGGACAGGCCACCUCGAAGGCUGCGGGCCGGCAGGUUCAGCAGCCACGCCAGGGAGCUAAGCAGGGACCGGCGGGCCGGCGGCAGCCGGAGGGAGCCUGGCGAGCGAGGGGCGGGGCGGGGCCAGGCGGGAGUGGGCGCGGCGGGGUGGGGCUUGGGGCGGGGGCGGGGCGGGGCGGGGCGGGGCCGGGGCUGGUCCCCACUGCCCAGAAGGGCCGCCCCUCUGCUCAACCGCUGUUUCUGCCAGACUGCCAGGCCCCUGCUGCUCCCUGCUCGGGGCUCGGGUAAGGCGGGCGCCCCCGGGCUGGGCUCAGGCUCCGCGUCCCGGGCGCUGGGUCACCGGCUGCCCCGGGCUGGUGCCCGCCCGGCUUCCCGCCCUCAGAAAACGCGCAGGCCCGGCGUUUGGAUACUGAGGGGCGGGGAAGGAAGUGACUAUAAAUGGAACGGACUUGGCAUUAAUUCAGCUGUGUUAGCUCUUCUGUACUACAGCUUAAUGAGCAUGGAGGUGAAGUUUGAAGGUAAUACUUUGUGAAAAUCUUUGACUCUCAAGGUUGGGAAAGCUUCGAGCUGUGACAAAAACCUCAUCGUAUAGUUAUAGAGAUGUGAUUUCUUGGCUGUUUUGGGUAUUUGGAGUUCAGAGAUUAAUUUGCAUAACUGGUUAAUUCUUCUCUUGAACUCUGGGUUAUUUUACCAUUAACUUUACCUGUCAAGAUAUUCCCUACCUAAAACGCAUUACCUUCUAGAAUUUCUUAAGUAGCAAUUAAUCACUGAAUAAUGACAUGUUUGAAGGAGCUUGGCUUUGAUGUUGGUUAGGGGUUAAUUCUGAAAUAGUCAUGCUCCAGUGGGUAGACCAGGUAGAUUUUUAUGUGUUAUUCAAAUAUGCCUAGGGCAGCCUUAGACUUUGUAGGAACAAUUUUUUACCUUUUCUAAGGAGUGAUCUGAUUACAAUCUGUUGAUAAAAUAAGAUCUUUUGCUUUGGGAGCAUCUGCAAACAAAAAGGUUGGGGGGACAGGGUUUCUGCUGAAACCAGCUGUGCACAAACCCUUAGGCUCCCGUGGACUCCUGAGGCUGCGUGCUUCAUAGUCCCUUGUGGUUCAGAUACCUCCGACUCUGGCCUACCCUGCUACCCAGAUACUUUCUCUACAGCUUAACUUCUCCUGUUCUUUCAUGAAGCCCUACUUUAUCCUCUUCCAGUUUAUUGCGACUUACUAGCUAGCUGUGUGACAUUGACCAAAUUGCUUUACUCUAAUCUCCAAUCUAUUUUUUCAGCUUUAUUAAGGUAUAAUUUACAUACAAUAUACAACACCCAUUUAAAGAGUACAAUUUGAUUACUUUUAGCACUCCAACCUUUUUUAACCUAAAGUCUAAAUUUAGAAACAAAACUCCCUCUGGGCUCAAGAUGACCAGGUUAUCUUUUGUGAAGGAAAGAAUGACGAAGUAAUUCAUUUGUAUCCCCCAUGGUGCCAAUGUAUGAGGUUUGAAGAAAGUAGGUAGGAUUCCUCUCCACUUAAAAGAUGGAUCAGAGAGAUCAU